AGCUCAGCAUUGGGCGUAAAGCGUGCGCAGGCGGUUUUGUAAGACAGAGGUGAAAUCCCCGGGCUCAACCUGGGAACUGCCUUUGUGACUGCAAGGCUGGAGUGCGGCAGAGGGGGAUGGAAUUCCGCGUGUAGCAGUGAAAUGCGUAGAUAUGCGGAGGAACACCGAUGGCGAAGGCAAUCCCCUGGGCCUGCACUGACGCUCAUGCACGAAAGCGUGGGGAGCAAACA
rnacentral:rRNA from 1 species